GGCCUGUGGAGGCUGACAAGGAGCAAGGAAAUGGGCGCUAAUCAGGAGAGGUGGGGAAGGAAGUCAGCAGGGGAGGGAAGGAGGGUGGAACGCAACUACAGGCCCAGAAAUUCAGGGACACAGUGACGGCCUCUUGGGGGACAGCGGGACACGGGCCUUCCUUCAUGGUCCAUUAUGGAAUCUUAGGGCUGGGACUGGCCUGGAGAUCAGAGACCUACUCCGCAUGGCAGGGGCGAGGCGACUGAAGCACAGCAGGGGAUGCAGAGGUGGGGAUGGAGCUCAGUCUGGGAUCGGGAGACACCGUCUCGUGAACAGUGGGGCCCAGGUUCUCUCCUCUGGCCUGACUUUGCCUUUUUCUUCCCAAGACCUUCCUGUCAUUAUUGUUGAACACUAUUUCGAGUAUGUGGAGGAGUCCAAAGAACAGAUCAACAGUCUGCAUUUCAUCGUGGAGUCCUCCCAAGACCCAGCGUGAGCUGCCCACUGCUGCAGACCCCAGCCCUCAGGCGAGUGUAUUCCCACCGAGGCCCCCCGUGCCUUGCAGCCUGCAGCGUUCUGAGGCUGGGAUGAUGUGGUGUUUGACCUCCUUGGUGGGAUCCGGACAUUCUUUCGGCUGUCUUUGGUGUAACAGCUUUGUGUUGUGCUGGGCAAAGGUGUGUCAUAAUGAGAAUCAGAGGGUAGAAUAAGGAAUGGGCCUUAUGAGUCUUGUUUGAGCUGGCCUCUGGGACCAGUGAGUUUGACUGACAUCUACCUGGAUGAACUUAGCUGAAGGCCACCGAUCAA